rnacentral:rRNA from 1 species
CGGAGGGUGCAAGCGUUAUCCGGAUUCACUGGGUUUAAAGGGUGCGUAGGCGGGUUGGUAAGUCCGUGGUGAAAUCUCCGAGCUUAACUCGGAAACUGCCGUGGAUACUAUCAGUCUUGAAUAUCGUUGAGGUAAGCGGAAUAUGUCAUGUAGCGGUGAAAUGCUUAGAUAUGACAUAGAACACCAAUUGCGAAGGCAGCUUACUGAACGGUCAUUGACGCUGAGGCACGAAAGCGUGGGGAGCAAACAGGAUU